rnacentral:lncRNA from 1 species
AAAGAAAAAAAACCAUUGCAUAAGAAAAAAAAUAUCAACGUUAAUUAAAAAAAAAAACCAGGAUCUAAAAAAUACAUAAUAAAUACUGUAUAAUUCGAAUGCAUGCACCUCAUUGCAUAAGAAGCUUAUAUUUUCUUGUGGAGACAUGACUAGAUGGUACUUCCACAAUGCAAAUCCACCAGUCGUGUAAAUUAAAUGUACAAUAUAUUCAUUAUACAUGGUUUUCUUUGCCGUCGAUGACAAUAUUGCAUGAGCUGUAAUAAAGCCCCGACCACCUCCAGGUACGUUUGAAACCAAGACUGAGCUCUGUUACAAUUGGAUUCCACGUCAGGGCUUUUGUCAGUGGUCACGAGUGGGAGGGACAAUUGGAAAGUAUCUAGAAGGCCGACAGACGCGGGCUUCUUGUCGCAUUGCAAAAUGAGGUCACACUCCGGUCCAAAUAUUACACGAAUACUACGCUGCUACAAAACUGGGAAGGAAAAUGCGGCCAUCGGAAGUCGGAACAGAUAAUUAAUGUUACCGGCCAUUCUUGACCGGCAGCAUUUUCUUAAUAACCUUGUAAGGUUAAUAAAAAAAUAGAUUAAAAGCCUCUAUAUUCAUCAUAUAUAUAUAUACACGGGCCAACGGGGGUGAGGUGAAAGCUCUCCAACCGUGAGCCACCACUAAUUUGAUCAUUGAUCUUUUAUUGACAAUCUCUACCACGGGCUCCGUAGUGCUUCUUGACUACUAUUAAUAUAAUAUAAUUAAUUAUAAAACAACAUAGCCACCACUAGCCUUGGAUCAUAUAUAUAAAAGAGUGCGACCCGAAGCCAUGAGAAUAUAUUAUCUUAUACUCUAAAUCAUGCGGGGAAAAAACUGUUUUGACACUGUGGGCUUGCUAGAUUUAGCUUCACGGCUGUUCGUCUCUGAGCCUCAGGGAUGCUUUGGUCUUGGCCGCCUUCUCAUGGCUUCGGUCCG